GUCUAUGGCCAUACUAUCCUGAACACACCCGAUCUCGUCUGAUCUCAGAAGCUAAGCAGGGUCAGGCCUGGUUAGUAUUUGGAUGGGAGACUACCUGGGAAUACUGGGUGCCGUAGGCU